GAAAAGAAAAGCAUUCUUUUCUUCUGUAAGAUAUUUCUGAUCCUGUUUCUCCAGCAUAGUACUGCAUCAGAUUGGUGCCCAGCUAUGCCUCUGUAGGGUUCAUCAGAAGAAGCAGGUAAUUGAAAGAAACUACCUGCUGAAAAAAGCACCCAAGAUCUUAAAUUUCAUCUCCAUACAAGAAAGGAAGCUAGUUUUUCUGUCACAACUACCAUGAUGCAUUUACCACAGAUGUAUGUCUCUAAAUGAACAAGGCUAGCAUCUAGAAUGUCAGAAUCUGAACAAAGUGAAUGAUGGCCUUCAGUAGCACAAAGAACCAGCAUGAGAUUGAACAAAAGAAUUCUCCAUGUGACAUAUACACCAUGGAAUACUAUGCAGCCAUAAAAAAGGAUGAGUACCCAGAAAAGUAUUCUUCCUUUGGCUGUGGAAGUAGACACCUGAAUGCCAGUGUCAAGAACAUACGUGCAGCUGAUCUCAAUUCAGACAAUCCCUUUAUGGAAGUGGAGACAUCAAAUUGCAACUCUUCAUUGGAAGUUUUAAGUAACACAAUUUCCACUGGAGCUUUACAGUCCUGGAAAGUAAUGUCCAUGCCUCUGGGACAAAUAAGGAGUUGCUGCAUUUACUAUAUGGGAAUUGCUCCCCCUGUUUAAUUCUCUGAGCCAGUUUUGGCACUCUAAGGAGUCAACAGAGGAAAUCUGCUCAUUUUUAGUGGCAGCCUUAAGGGAAAUAGUUACAUUUCAGUCACUAGUAGUAACCAAGCUUAAGAAAAUAUAUCUGCAAAAGCUACCUGACAAUCAGAAAUGGUAGCUGAGAACCAAACACGUAUUAAGGAGCUUUCAGAAAAAUGGAGCCCACGGAGUAUCUUACGGCAGCCCAGAAUGGACAGUGUUCCCAGGCCUGCUCUCCUUGGACUGUACCUGUAUGGGUGAAGACUGAAAAAUGAACAGAAAACGUUACCUUCAGGGAUCCAAGUGAUGGCAGGUCAAAUGGUAGGCUACAUAGCUCCAAGUCAAAAGAAUUAACAAAACAGAGCAGCUCUGUUGCCUUAAUCCCAGAGGAAACAUCUAAUCAGCUACACUGCACCUUCAGUGCAGACAUUUCACCCAGGCUUUUAGCAGGCGAGGAGAAUAUAUUCAAUCAGACUUCUCAGCAGACCACUUCCUUGCCAUCCAGUUUCAUAUUGGUUAAAGACUUGGAUCAGAGACCACAGAAUCCAUUAACAGACACACCUGAAACCACAGAGAAUGCCAGCCCUGAAGCUGCAAUGCCAACCAUCCACAAGUUUCUCCAACCUUCUACCAUUAAUGUUUUGUCCUACAGACAUGGACUGGAUUCUCCAUGCUAGCUUUCCUCUGCAGGAAGCUCUUGGGGCUAUGCAUUGAGUUGGCAGAAAUGCAGACCUUGAUAUUCUUGCUUUGCUA
rnacentral:lncRNA from 1 species